GUGUGUGUGUGUGUGUGUGUGUGUGUGUGUGUGUGUGUGUGUGUGUGUGUGUGUGUGUGUGUGUGUGUGUGUGUGUGUGUGUGUGUGUGUGUGAGUGUGGCUGGCUGAGAGGGGCUGUGUUUGAGCAGUGAGAUCUGGUCUCUGUCCUCCCCUGCUCACAGCCAGGUCUUCAACUGGAGCCAACAGCUCUGAAUCCUCCUCAGCUUCCAAUCCACCAUUCAGGCGCCAGCUCCCACUGCCUGUCAGGCCCUCCUGGGCUCUCCUUACAAUUCACUGCCAGUGUGUUUCCGGUGUCCUGGAACGCACCCUGUCUGGUUGCCGGGCGAAUUAGCUUGUUGGGAGAUCGAUGUUCACCCGCACCUGUAUCCCAUCAGUAAUCUGCACACCUGGUCCUGAUCAUCAUCUCUCCUCUUCAUAAGCCCGGACCUGACAUCCAGUCCUUGCCGGAUCGUUAGCCAUGAACAUUACUCACCCGGAUCAUUUACCCCAUUCCAGCCUGGUCGUCGGAGAAUUCCGCUACCCCAUUGGAUCCACCUAUUUACUCCCAUCAACUCACCACCGCUUCCCGCUACGCCACCUGGAUAUAUCUACCCAUUCACUUGUAAAUAAAUACUCACCUUCUUCCUACUCUCCUUGUCUGCUUCUGGGUUCGAUUUUGAAAGAACGUGACAAGGAGUGGUA